GACGAACGCUGGCGGCGUGCUUAACACAUGCAAGUCGAACGGAAAGGCCCUGCUUUUGUGGGGUGCUCGAGUGGCGAACGGGUGAGUAACACGUGAGUAACCUGCACUUGACUUUGGGAUAACUUCAGGAAACUGGGGCUAAUACCGGAUAGGAGCUCCUGCUGCAUGGUGGGGGUUGGAAAGUUUCGGCGGUUGGGGAUGGACUCGCGGCUUAUCAGCUUGUUGGUGGGGUAGUGGCUUACCAAGGCUUUGACGGGUAGCCGGCCUGAGAGGGUGGCCGGCCACAUUGGGACUGAGAUACGGCCCAGACUCCUACGGGAGGCAGCAGUGGGGAAUAUUGCACAAUGGGCGGAAGCCUGAUGCAGCAACGCCGCGUGCGGGAUGACGGCCUUCGGGUUGUAAACCGCUUUCGCCUGUGACGAAGCGUGAGUGACGGUAAUGGGUAAAGAAGCACCGGCUAACUACGUGCCAGCAGCCGCGGUGAUACGUAGGGUGCGAGCGUUGUCCGGAUUUAUUGGGCGUAAAGGGCUCGUAGGUGGUUGAUCGCGUCGGAAGUGUAAUCUUGGGGCUUAACCCUGAGCGUGCUUUCGAUACGGGUUGACUUGAGGAAGGUAGGGGAGAAUGGAAUUCCUGGUGGAGCGGUGGAAUGCGCAGAUAUCAGGAGGAACACCAGUGGCGAAGGCGGUUCUCUGGGCCUUUCCUGACGCUGAGGAGCGAAAGCGUGGGGAGCGAACAGGCUUAGAUACCCUGGUAGUCCACGCUGUAAACGGUGGGUACUAGGUGUGGGGUCCAUUCCACGGGUUCCGUGCCGUAGCUAACGCUUUAAGUACCCCGCCUGGGGAGUACGGCCGCAAGGCUAAAACUCAAAGGAAUUGACGGGGCCCCGCACAAGCGGCGGAGCAUGCGGAUUAAUUCGAUGCAACGCGUAGAACCUUACCUGGGUUUGACAUGGAUCGGGAGCGCUCAGAGAUGGGUGUGCCUCUUUUGGGGUCGGUUCACAGGUGGUGCAUGGCUGUCGUCAGCUCGUGUCGUGAGAUGUUGGGUUAAGUCCCGCAACGAGCGCAACCCUUGUUCACUGUUGCCAGCACGUUAUGGUGGGGACUCAGUGGAGACCGCCGGGGUCAACUCGGAGGAAGGUGGGGAUGACGUCAAGUCAUCAUGCCCCUUAUGUCCAGGGCUUCACGCAUGCUACAAUGGCUGGUACAGAGAGUGGCGAGCCUGUGAGGGUGAGCGAAUCUCGGAAAGCCGGUCUCAGUUCGGAUUGGGGUCUGUAACUCGACCUCAUGAAGUCGGAGUCGCUAGUAAUCGCAGAUCAGCAACGCUGCGGUGAAUACGUUCCCGGGGCU
rnacentral:rRNA from 1 species